GAUCCGAACAACGGUCCUGUCUUAUUCAAGAGAUAAGACAGGACCGUUGUUCUUUUUUACGCGUG
rnacentral:misc_RNA from 1 species